rnacentral:lncRNA from 1 species
GGCGAGGAAAUGAUGGGCAAGCAGAAAGGCGGGGAAAGCAGAAGGGGGACCAGACAAAAAGGGUGUAGGUGAGAGAAGGGGGCACUCCAGGCGGAGGCAGCCAGACCGUACCUUUUGAUACACAGCCUGGACGGCAGGAGUAAUAGUUGCUGCAUUUUGAAAAAUCAAGAGGAAAAGAGUUAACAGGAAGAAAAGUUCGAGGUAAUUACCGUUUAGUUUAUGCUUGGAAUUACA